UGAGUAAGCUGGGUGGCAGCGUGCGGGGAAAGCCCGCAUGAGGAAAGUCCGAGCACCGCAGAGCAAGAAUAGCGGCUAACGGCCGCCGGAGGCGACUCUAGGGAUAGUGCAACAGAGAGAUACCGCCGGGCAAAACGCCCGGUAAGGGUGGAAAGGCGAGGUAAGAGCUCACCGGCGCACAGGAGACUGUGCGGCCCUGUAAACCCUAUUCGGUGCAACACGAACGGAAGCAUUUAACACCUGCUCGGUGCGUUUCCAAAGUGGCUCCAGGUGCGCGGCAACGCGCAUCGCAGAUAGAUUGUCAUCCACGACAGAACUCGGCUUAUAGGCUUAGUCACGGC
rnacentral:RNase_P_RNA from 1 species